AAGUAAUUACUGCAUGGUGUGUUUCCGACUAUUACCUCAACAGAUCAAUUGGAUGUGAAGAAUGGCUAAUCAGAGAAGACACAGAGGUAUUUUUGGAAUAUUGCUGGGAUUACAGGAUUAGAAAGCCUUGCAUAAAAAUGUGCAGAUACAGGUCUUCCAAGGUUAGAGUCCCAAUUGUGAAGGGAAAUUACGUACCCUCAUGUGCACAAUGUCCACAUGACGGUUUGAGUUUUAGAAUCUCUGAAGACAUGUAACUUCUCAAAGACUUCAUGACCGCUAGAGGAAGCCUACUGAGGAGUCAGCAUCAUUCUUAAAGAGCUCCAGAUGAAGUGUAGAUGAAAAAUAACAGACAGCACUAAUGCUCUGAAGGCAAAUCCCAGAGUUCUGUUUCAUUAAGAAAAAAACUUUUGCG